rnacentral:lncRNA from 1 species
GUCAUUCUCUUGGCGAAACAAGACAGGGAACCAAAAUCAAAGGGAAGAAAGAAUUACAUUGUAAUUUGGCGGCUCUCUAAAGAGGUUAAUCUAUGCUGUAUAUUUUGUAAGCCGGUAUUCGAACAUGAGACUGUGUCUGUUGCUUCACUUUUCCAAAUGAUGAUAAUCAUUAUGUCAUUUAUUAAGAGUUUACUAUGUUCAGUGGAAUUUAUGAAGUGCUUAUGAUGUUCUAAGCCCUGGGUUAAAUACAAUUUUAUCAGAUUGAACACAGUUCCUGUCCCACACAAUCUAUUUUAUCCCUCUUUUACAGAUGAGGAAACUGAGGCCCAGAGCAGUUAAAUGACCCAUCCAAGGUCAUGCAGGCAGCCCGUGGCAGAGCUGAGACUAGAACCCAGAUCUCCUGACCCCCAGUUCCUAAUGCCAGGACUAGAAAGGCUUUUGCUCUGAAGUCCCGGGCCGGCUAGUGGCGCUCGAUCUCAGAAAGCUGAGGAGUCCAGAAAGGAAGGCCCCCCCGCCCCUCCCACCUGAUGGGUGACGGGUGCGGGAAUGGAAACUAAGCUCUUCGAAGAGAGGCCGCGCCCCGCCGAGAGCGGGGGGACAUCGAGGGAGACAAAGCCCGAAGGAGCAGAUGCCAGAUUUCGCGGGCCCGCCUCUCAGCCUGCCACUGACUCCCAUCCGGGGACCUGUUCAGCUGGGAAUAGCGAGACCCCCUCGGUGCUGGUCAGAGGGUCGGGAAACAGUAGUCCCCUCGGUGGGGCGUCCCCCCGCUCCCUUUCGGUCAGAGCUGUGGAUUCUCUCCACCUUUCCCCUUGGGAGAGAAACCUCGCCACGCUUCUUCCAAGCGAACGCCCCAGGGAGACCCCAGAAAGGGGCCCUCAGACCCACAUCAUCCGACAAGAACCCAGCACAAUCGUUUUUGCCAACUACGAGUUUUUAUCCCCUGCCGUCGAUUCUGUGCUCCGCGGCCCAGAGGUCCCGGACGCCGAAGCCUCUUCAUAUGAGUCCGGGGAGGAGGAGGAGGGAGAAGAGGGUGACGAAGAUGUUUUCACCCAGCCAUCCCUUCGCGAGCCGUUUGUCCACGGCCUUCUCCCGAGCAUCAUUCCCGCAGACCAGCCAGAGGCAUGUGAAUUCCCCGAGGAGGGGGAUGUUUGUCUUACACCGAGCCCCCCGGGGCGUUGGGAGAGAGAACCUAAUGAACGGGCGACGGGAGAGAAGCAGAUCCACAAAGCGAGCCCACCGAAGGAGGUCUCUGGAUUUUCAGACUCUAUGUCCGAUCUCAUGAAGAACCUGGAGCAACUGAAUCUAGAUCUUGAAGAAGCUCUCAAUCAUGGCUCUUCUCCUUCUCAGACUACUUCUUUCAAGAGGCGAGAGCAGCAGGUAAAGGUUCCGCCGAAUCCCGUUUAUAUGAACUGAAGUUUAAAUCUCCAAAUGGGAAAAAGUUACUUUCUGUUCAGUGUUUAACACCUUCAUUGUGGAAAUGGAUGUAAAGUUGAAGUAGCGUGGGCUAGUGGAAGGGGUACGGGCCUACGAGUCAGAGGACCUGGGUUCUAAUGCGAGCUCCGCCAUUUGUCUGCUGUGUGACCUUGGGCAAGUCACUUAACUUGUCUGUGCUUCAAUUACCUCAUCUGUAAAAUGGAGAAUUAAGACUGUGAGCCCCACGUGGGACAGGGACUGUGUCCAACCUGAUUAGCUUGUAUCUUCUCCAGUGGUUCAGUGCGUGGACCGUGGUA